GACGAACGCUGGCGGCGUGCUUAACACAUGCAAGUCGAACGGAAAGGCCCUGCUUUUGUGGGGUGCUCGGGUGGCGAACGGGUGAGUAACACGUGAGUAACCUGCCCUUGACUUUGGGAUAACUUCAGGAAACUGGGGCUAAUACCGGAUAGGAGCUCCUGCUGCAUGGUGGGGGUUGGAAAGUUUCGGCGGUUGGGGAUGGACUCGCGGCUUAUCAGCUUGUUGGUGGGGUAAUGGCUUACCAAGGCUUUGACGGGUAGCCGGCCUGAGAGGGUGACCGGCCACAUUGGGACUGAGAUACGGCCCAGACUCCUACGGGAGGCAGCAGUGGGGAAUAUUGCACAAUGGGCGGAAGCCUGAUGCAGCAACGCCGCGUGCGGGAUGACGGCCUUCGGGUUGUAAACCGCUUUCGCCUGUGACGAAGCGUGAGUGACGGUAAUGGGUAAAGAAGCACCGGCUAACUACGUG
rnacentral:rRNA from 1 species